GACGAACGCUGGCGGCGUGCCUAAUACAUGCAAGUAGAACGCAGUUGCGAACGGGUGAGUAACGCGUAGGUAACUGCCCCAUAGCGGGGGAUAACCAUUGGAAACGCUAGCUAAUACCGCAUACUGUGAGGUGGACGUGCGUUGUAUUAGCUUGUUUGUGAGGUAAAGUCUCACCAAGGCGACGAUACAGAGCCGACCUGGGAGGGUGAUCGGCCACACUGGGACUGAGACACGGCCCAGACUCCUACGGGAGGCAGCAGUAGGGAAUAUUGCGCAAUGGGCGGAAGUCUGACCGAGCAACGCCGCGUGAGUGAAGAAGGUUUUCGGAUCGUAAAGCUCUGUUGUUAAGGAAGCGGUACCUAACCAGAAAGGGACGGCUAACUACGUGCCAGCAGCCGCGGUAAUUC
rnacentral:rRNA from 1 species